GACGAACGCUGGCGGCGUGCUUAACACAUGCAAGUCGAACGGAAAGGCUCCAGCUUGCUGGAGUACUCGAGUGGCGAACGGGUGAGUAACACGUGGGUGAUCUGCCCUGCACUUCGGGAUAAGCCUGGGAAACUGGGUCUAAUACCGGAUAGGACCGCACUUUGGUGUGUGUGGUGGAAAGGUUUUUCUGGUGUGGGAUGAGCUCGCGGCCUAUCAGUUUGUUGGUGGGGUAAUGGCCUACCAAGACGGCGACGGGUAGCCGGCCUGAGAGGGUGGACGGUCACAUUGGGACUGAGGUACGGCCCAGACUCCUACGGGGGGCAGCAGUGGGGAAUAUUGCACAAUGGGGGAAACCCUGAUGCAGCGACGCCGCGUGGGGGAUGAAGGCCUUCGGGUUGUAAACUCCUUUCGCUAGGGACGAAGCUUUUUGUGACGGUACCUGGAGAAGAAGCACCGGCUAACUACGUG
rnacentral:rRNA from 1 species